rnacentral:rRNA from 1 species
UACGUAGGGCGCAAGCGUUGUUCGGAUUUACUGGGCGUAAAGGGCGCGUAGGCGGCAUAUUAAGUCAUCUGUGAAAUCUCCGAGCUUAACUCGGAACUGUCAGCUGAUACUGAUGUGCUAGAGUGCGGAAGGGGCAAUCGGAAUUCUUGGUGUAGCGGUGAAAUGCGUAGAUAUCAAGAGGAACACCUGAGGUGAAGACGGGUUGCUGGGCCGACACUGACGCUGAGUGCGCGAAAGCCAGGGGAGCAAACGGG